rnacentral:rRNA from 1 species
AAUAGAUACCCCGGUAGUCCACGCCGUAAACGAUGAGUGCUAAGUGUUAGGGGGUUUCCGCCCCUUAGUGCUGCAGCUAACGCAUUAAGCACUCCGCCUGGGGAGUACGGUCGCAAGACUGAAACUCAAAGGAAUUGACGGGGGCCCGCACAAGCGGUGGAGCAUGUGGUUUAAUUCGAAGCAACGCGAAGAACCUUACCGGGUCUUGACAUCCCGCUGACCGCUAUGGAGACAUAGCUUUCCCUUCGGGGACAGCGGUGACAGGUGGUGCAUGGUUGUCGUCGGCUCGUGUCGUGAGAUGUUGGGUUAAGUCCCGCAACGAGCGCAACCCUUGUCCUUAGUUGCCAUCAUUCAGUUGGGCACUCUAAGGAGACUGCCGUACAAAUACGGAGGAAGGUGGGGAUGACGUCAAAUCAUCAUGCCCCUUAUGACCUGGGCUACACACGUGCUACAAUGGACGGUACAAACGGUUGCGAAGUCGCGAGACGGAGCCAAUCCGAGAAAGCCGUUCUCAGUUCGGAUUGCAGG